GGCAAAGUCUUGAAAAUCAUUGUAUUAAAUGUAAUAAUUGUUGUUGACUGUAAAAACAAACAAGCCAACACUGUAAUCCACUUGAAAAAUCUGUUUUUAUUGAAUUCUUUUACAUGUGACCAUAAAAUUACUCUAACUGCUGCAUUUUACUCACCAAAUACAUUAUUUAAAUUUUUUGUGAUUGACAACCAAUAUUUUUUAAAUUGCUACAUUUUAGAUUUUCCCUUUUUUGUUAAAUUACUGUUAUAUAAAAUAUUCUAUUAAUUUUGCAGAAGGAACUUAUUUAAAUAUUUACUGUAAAAGAAAUUAAUGUGGGAUUGUAAAGCAACAAAUAGUUUUUUUAACUGUUAUUUUACAGAUUUGCCCAGUUUUGCUAGUUAACAUUAUUAAUUGAAUUUAUUUAUUUUUUAGGAAAAUUGCAGAAGUAUUAAUUUACAUAUUUAAUAUAAAAACAAAACAACUAAGAUUCAGUGACACAUUGUUAAAAAAAAUUCAAACAUGUUUUUAACUGUAACUUAAAUUUAUUUUUAUCAUAGAUUUGCAAUAUCCACAUUAAUAAUCUGUUUUAUGUAAUUCUUCUCCAUAAAUUAAUAAUUACACUAUUAACUGCUGCAUUUAAUUUGAAAAACUUUUUUAUAGAUUUUUCCUGUUUUAUUAAAUUGCAAAUAUUACAUAAAAUGAUGAAUUAAAAUAAUAAAAACUAUUUAAAUUUUUAUCAUAAAAAAUUGAUAUAGGACUGAAUGUGGUCAUAUGCCAAGUAUUUUAUUUGAGCUAUUUUACAGAUUUUUUUUCCAGUUUUGCUAAAUUAAAUUAAUAAUUUGACAAUGAAAUAAUAAUUUACAUCUAACAAUAUCAAACUGUAAAAAAUAAAUAUAUUUAAUACAUUUUAACAUGAUAAAAAUAAAACAAAUAUUCACACAACAAUGGUUUAAUUUGGUAAUUAACCAAAAAAAUAAAGAGACUAAAACUACAAAUAAUGUCCACAUCAAAGAGUCAGUAUUCAACAGAUAUUAAUUUGUUCUUUUCCAACAUUUGACUGCAAUAUCACGCUAUUUUUAGUGAUUUUAAAUCACCUUUUCCUGGCACCAUUACUGCCAGAUUUUCACUUUUUUUUUUAACAUGAUUUUUUUUUAACUUGCUGCUUAAGAACCAAGAUCUUGAUUCUCCUUAACUCAUUAACUAUGAAGAUGAAGUAAAAUAAUGGGAUUAAAUCCUCCUCUGAGGCUGUAAACGUCCCUCUAGACUCAGCUGUUCAACACUAACUCUUCUUUGAGGAAUUUUCUGUUUUCUCGGAGCUCCUGUGGGUCGACUUCUCAGUGGGGAAAAACCAAACAAAAACAGUAAGUUAGCAGGAAUCUGGGACAGGAAUGGCAUGUCGGGGUGUUUUUCUCCGGCUUGUAGUGAUUGAUUGGAUCUCGGUGGACUCCUGGAGGAUUUGGCGGAGCUGAGGGGGGAUCAGAGCGUCCCGGCAGAGCCUCUCAUCGAUGGGCUGAUUGCUUCCUCAUGGCCUCGACAAACCAACACCAGACGGCAACAACAACACCACCUCCCCCCCCGAGCAACCUUUAAUCUGGAGCCAAGUGAGAAGAUGUUGAAGUCAGUGGCAGUAAUUUCUGAUAAUUUCACCCAGCGUCCACUCUUUCUCUGGCGUUUUGAAACCAUCCCCUCAAAGGGCACGACCAGACGGCCCUGGAGGACUUUAUUUACAUCAUCAUCAUCAUCCCAUCAUGCUCGGCAGCCUUGAACGUGCCUCAGCUCCCACAUUCCUCUCCUGGUGAAAUCAUAUUUUCUAGCCGCUGCUGAUUUGUUUGGUCACUGUGGCGCCUGCAUGAUAGAUGUUUAUCUGGCUGUGAAACACCCCCACCCCUCCACCAGUCCUCCACCUCCAGACGGUGUGGAGGUAUGUGGACCUGCAGAAGGCCGUCAGUCAUGGGCUCGGUGUGGAGCUCGUACAGAUGUUGGCCUAAUGCUGCUCGUGGCCGGCCGCCAGGCAUUAUACUCAGAAUAGCGACGGUGCUGAAAAAUGCCUACCCAGCAUGCUUAGCUGCAGGUAUCUGGCUGCCAGUAACAACAUACAGCAGUAGGAGAGUACGACUGAAGGCACGUGCCAGGAAUAUUAAAUAAAUAAGCAGAACAGUGCAGAAAAUAUUCAAAGCAUCAGAUAGUUUUUCAUUGAUGAGAUGAACUUUGAUCUCUGCUGUACUGCAACGAAGUUUAAGGAUAUCUGUAAACGUAUCUGGGUCAAUAUAUAAAUGAGGGACUUCUGAAGUCCAUUGGAUAUAUCUUGCAUAUACAAGUAAAAAAAAGUUUAUGUUCAUUAUGAUCAUGUCUUUACAAAUCCCAUAACUAUUUAUGGAAACAAUCACUUGCUAAUAAAAAAUGGCUGGAUGUCACAAACUCUUAAAUGCUGCUUUCUGAUGCUUCUCCUCUACAGUGGAACAAAGAGUUACUUCCAUGGAUUGUACUCUCUGUUAACAAUCCCAGAAUGCAACAUUCUGCAUCAAAGAGAUGGAAAAUGGUGGAUGUGCACCACAUUUUUUAUAUAAUGGAUUAUAUGAUUAAGAGUAAACUACUAAGAAGGUAUUGAAUAGCCAUGUCUGUAUGACUGCCACAUGAAUUUGAACUUUGAAAUGUUGAAAAAAGCUGGUUUGUUGCGAUCAGCAGGUGGCGCUGUGGGCUACAUUAGCAUGUCUGUAAUAAACUCGGUAGAAGAACAAAACCUGUUUUGCUGACAGCUGCCAAAAAACUUGAAGAAACAAUCAAACUUUGACCACCUCCAAGAUAAAAAUGCAGAGAAGUCUUCAAGAUUUGUCUUCAACCACUAAACUUGGAAUUAUUCCUUUAGGUCAGCUGGUGUUUCAUGGAGUCUGGAGAUGAAGAUGAUGGAAGAAGUGGAAACAUCUGGUCAGACGUAUCUUUACAGAAGGAAGGAGGAUCUCUGAAAAGUGGUUCAGAUCUUUGUGGGAAUUUAUGAAGAAUCAGACAUCAUGAUAGGUCUGUCCCACCAUAUGCAGAGGCUGCAGUGUGAUCUUUGCACAUUAAUCCCUUGGACUGAGUUCAGAUGACCCAGAUUGGAUUUGCUGCUGAUGAAACGGCUUUGUGGGCACGAAAAAGAACAUUUUGGAGAAAGACUGAAUCUCUUACGGUGCUGAAGGAGUCAGUGUGUACAGGACAAUUUAUAUCUGCUGCUAGUUUGGCAUUUUAAUUAUUCCACUUCCUCUUAUUUUUUUUCAUUCAGGUAUUGUGGGAGUUUCUGUGAAUACCACAUCACUUUGUCUGGCAUGUCUGGUAUGACUGAAGGAUUUUCUGACAUUAUUCGAGCAGACGGAACAAUGAGGCGUGAUUAUUAGAGCAAGGAGGGCUUUUACGGCUGCAGGUGUGAUCAAGGAUUGUCCGGUAACUGCCUGAGAAGACGAACAAGUAACCACGCCCAGGCCUGCUGCAGCACCACGGAGCUGGUUGGAGGAGGAAUAAAUCCAACCACUGAGCCCUGAUAGACGGAGGCAGCGCCGCCCUCCGCAGCGCGCAGCAGCUCCGCGUCAACGCAGGAAAUUUAAACAGAGAUCCUCCGUCCAGCCGCAGACACGCAUCUCCCCGCUGCAAGGUCACCGAGCCGGC